rnacentral:rRNA from 1 species
UUGUCCGGAAUUACUGGGCGUAAAGAGCUCGUAGGUGGUUUGUCGCGUUGUUCGUGAAAACUCACAGCUUAACUGUGGGCGUGCGGGCGAUACGGGCAGACUGGAGUACUGCAGGGGAGACUGGAAUUCCUGGUGUGGCGGUGGAAUGCGCAGAUAUCAGGAGGAACACCCAUGGCGAAGGCAGCUAACUGGGCAUUAUCUGACGCUGAGGCGCGAAAGCGUGGGUAGCAAACAGG